UACAUUGGGGCACCGAGGCAGCUGCAAGGUUGUAGGUUGUGUUACAUGGAGGAGGGAGGGAAAUUAGAUGACAUCAGGAGGUAGGCAGGAACUAGAUUAUAUCCAGGGUUUUAGACCACAUUUAGGGUUUGGGGAUCCCUGCUGAGCUUUAAUAAUAAACGUAUGUGUUGGGGCACACAGUAGGCUUGCAGAAUAUUGGAUGGUAUAUCCCUUGUGUCAUGCAGGGAUGGACUAUGCCUCCAACAACACCUGGAGGAUCAGCCAAACAAAGGCAGGACUAAGAACCCCUAAAGGACAAUAAAAUCAGAGUUCCUGCACCCAAAAAAGCGACGACAACAACAACAACAACAAAAAACAAAAAGACAAUCAAAGACAAAGCAUGGCAUUUGGAGUCAGAAGAACCUUUAUUUUCAGUCACAUUGUGUGUGACCCUGGACAAAUCAAUGUCUGUGACCCUGGACAAGUCUUAUUGUGUGUGACCCCCCUGGACGAGGUCUCUCAGUCUCCUAGAGACAGAAGGCUUGGGAUCCCUGCUGAGCUUUUCUGAGAUUCUGGUAAUUGGUAAUAAAAAAUUCUGUAUGGGCAAGGCUUUGUCUAGUGCUUGCUACAAACUAGGCAAUCAUAUCCCUUUCUGUAGCUAUGCUCCAAAUUAACCUAGAGAUAGCACCAUGACCAGGGUUAACUUACGGUGUUGGGGGCAGGGUCCUAAAAAUUUGAUGUCUUUCUGAAAUUGCCACUUCUAAAAUAUUUGCUUAGAAUGUGCUUAAUGAAGGUUGGGGGAAACUGCUUUUUUAUAUUAGGAAAUAUAUUGAAAAUAACACAGUUAGACUACAUGGAUUUGAGUUAGGAUUGUGAUUUUUCUGAACCCCCAAACUUCUUGGAUUUAAAAUUUAGAUAACAGGAGUUUCUGUCGUGGUGCAGCAGAAAUGAAUCCGACUAGGAACCAUGAGGCUGUGGGUUCUAUCUGUGGCCUCUCUCAGGGGGUUAAGGAUCUAGUGUUGCUGUGACCUGUGGUGUAGGUCACAGAUGCAGCUCCGAUCUGGUGUUGCUGUGGCUGUGGCAUAGGCCAGCAACUGUAGCUCAGAUUAGACUUCUAACCUGGGAACCUCCAUAUGCCGCACGUGCAGCCCUAAAAAUUAAAAUUUAGGUAAAAAAUAAAUUAUUAUUUCCCAAACAAAUAGCAUUAUGCUAUGGAUCGUUCAGUUUCCGAAUUUCAUUGAAUUUUUUGGCUGCUGACUUCAGGUGACUGACAUAGCUGAGCUUGGUGGAGGCUGGGGGAGAGUUUUAUAGCUGCAGGGAUUUGCUUUCAUAUGCAGAUCACAAGAAUACCCUGUAACACAGGGGGGCACUGGCAAAUCCUGUACUUUUAUUUCAGUUUUUUUCAGGAAAGCAGGCUGGCAAUACUCAUCUGGAGUUACUGUCUGCCUUUUUUUUUUCACCACUGCAUCCAGGCUAGGGGUUGAAUUGGAGCUGUAGCCAGCCUACACCACAGCCACAGCAACCCAGGAUCCCAGCCACGUCUGUGGCCUACACCACAGGUCACAGUGGCACAGAACCGUUCUUUUUUUUAUGGGAACCAUUCCUCCUGGUUUGUGAUAUAAAUCUUCCACCCAUCAUAUGGCUGAGCACACAAUCCGUGCUUGACAGUCAAAGAUUGGUUCAAAAGUACACCAAUAAGAGCAGUAGCUUAAACUUCUUUUAUUCCUUUUUUGUCUUUCUUUCUUUCUUUUUUGGCCACCCACAGCAUAUGGAGUGACCCCACCAGGGAUCAGGUCUGAGCCCCAGUUGUGACCUACGCUGCAGCUGUGGCAACACCAGAUCCUUAACCCACUGUCCCUGGCCAGGAAUCGAACCUGGGUCCUGCACUGCAGAGACAUGGCUGACCCCACUGUGGGAACUCCCAAAACUUUUUGAUGGAACUUAUAGGAUAGCAGUAUUCUCUCCUAAGAUUCCUUGUUGUGAAGACAGCAUUAACCAAGAAUUCUCAUCUUUGCCAUCACAUAGGACAAGCCAGACUGAGAGAAGGACAAAGCAGAGAGUACUCAUAACCAUUAUUUGGAAUCCUGAUGAUAUACUUUGAGCCCUUUUGACUCUGCUCCGAUCCCAUGUUGCUGUGACUGUGGUGUAGGCCAGCAGCUGCAGCUGAUUCAACCCCUAGCCUGGGAACCUCCAUAUGCUACGGGCGCGGGCCUAAAAAGAAAAAGAAAAAAAAAAAUGGUUAAGAUGAUGUUACUGGAAUGGAACUGCAUCCUUGCAAAAUCCAUAUAGUAAAGAUUAACCCCCAUGUAUUGAAAACAGGGUCUUUAAAUAGGUCAUCAAGGUUAAAUGAGGUCAUGACUAGGACCCUAAUCCAGUAGAACUGGUAUCUUUAAGAAAGAGGCACCAAAGCCCUCUCUCUAUAUUUGCAAAGAGGAAAGGUCAUAUGAGGACACAGAAAGAAGGCGGCCAACUGUGAGCCAAGAAAGGAGGCCUGACCAGAAACUGACCGUGCCUGCACCUUAAACUUGGACUUUUAGCCUCUGGGACUGUGAGAGAAUUAGUUUCUGCUGUUUAAGCCACCAGUUUUGAUGUUUUGUUGUGUGAUAUUAGGCAGCCAGAGCGGAUUAAUAGAAAUGGUAAAUUAUAUGUUAUAUGUAUUUUAUCACAAUUUUAUUUUAUUUUAUUUUAUUUUAUUUAUCUUAUGGCCCAGGCUAGGGGUCUAAUCAGAGUUACAGCUGUCGGCCUAUGCCACAACCACAGCAAUGCCAGAUCCAAGCCACAUCUUCAACCUACACAGCAGCUUGCGACAACGAUGGAUCCUUUACCCACUAAUCAAGGCCAGCGAUCAAACCUAUAGCCUCACAGAGACAAUGUCAGGUUCUUAACCCACUGAGCCACAAUGGGAACUCAUACCACAAUUUUUUAAAAAGUCUAGUUUGACUUGGUUUUCUAUUAUGUAUAACCCAAAGACUCCUCACUAAUAUGCAACUGAUUUAAUUUCAUCCAUUGCAUAAAAAAUCCUACGUGGCCUCUUGUGUUAAUUGGCACAAUACUUUCUAAAUUGUCAGUGAGGUUUUGUUACUUUCUGUGUAUGGGCAUCCCUGGAAAAAGCCACCACACUGGCUGGCCUUCCAAUUUGGCUCAAGAUUUCUUGGGGAAAGAAAUAAUCCCAGGAUGCUCAAAAAACAGAUCCCAUAGCUUCAUUUGUGAAAAUCCUGGGUGUCAGGCCUCAGAUCCUUGAUUCCUGUUCCCAGGAAACCUUCCCAGGAAGACGUCGCCCGAGGCAGCUUUGAAUAAUGAGUUUUCCUUCUCAGAGCCUUCCUAUUCCAUUUCCAGAUGUUCCUAUUUGGAAAUCUUCCCUUAUUUUGUCUCUUGAAGUGCCAGCACUCAGAAAGGGCCCAGCCCCUCUGACAGCCGGUAGGCUUUCUGCUCAAGGGAUUUCACAGCAUCAGGACUCACACCCCAGCCUAUUAGAUGGCAGAAAUCCUUUCAAGGCAAGUUGGGGCUUAUUUGUAACUUAUCUGAGAAACACAUCACAGUGUGUCUUUGUAGCCAGGGAUCCUCAAGCGAGAAAGUAACAGAUGAAAUAACUUAUUAGUCCUUUUCCUUCCCAAGAGUCUCUAAAGCAUGAAAAACUCCACUAUACCUGCUCCUCCGAGCUUUUGCUGUAGAGAUUUCCCAAGAGCCUCCCAGUGCUGCCAGUGUCAGCACACCUGUCUGAGGCAGACGUGCACCAGCAACGGCAAAAUAAUGGAUUCCAUUUACUGAGCACGUACUAUGUGCCAGACACGGUACAAAGUGUUGUACCUGGGUUAUUUCAUGUAUGCCUUAUAGGAACAUGUGAAGUAAACCUAUCAACCUCGUUUUACAGAUGAAGAAACACGGCCUCGUAAAGUACAAGCAGCUCACUCGGAUUUAUUGAUCUUGUCAGUUGGCAGAGGCAGGGCUACCAGACUCAGGUCCGGCUGCUUGCCGCUCGGAAAUCAGUACCUGAGAAAGAGGCAAAUGUUGGUCAAAAGGAAGGUUGCUUUUCAUCAGAAUGCUGGCAGUCUGGGGAGAGGGUGGACUCACUGUCCACCCAAAACCAUCUCCUAAGAUUUAGCUUGACCGUGAAAGUUUUUAAAGGGAAAAAGGAAAGUCAUCUCUGCCAAUCAUUGAUGUAGCGGGCAGCGUCGCCAUCCCCCACUGCCCACAGGCUUCUGAACUCUCUCCUUAGAUGCAAUCUUGUUCAGUUUGUUCGUGAGAUUACUGAAGGGGAAGCUAGGAAAGUGGUCUGUCAUCUGUUAAUUACUUAUUCUUCAGUUCUACUUCUUUGAUCUACAGAAAGAACCAAUAGAUUAGGCAAGGUAUUAUGGGAUCGAAAGAUUUGAAAGGUGUGAGUGGGUCAGAAAUGAGUAGGGCAUGGGGGCUUCUGAUUAAAAUGUAAGCAAUUUGGGAGUUCCUGUGGUAGCUUAGCAGGUUGAGAACCCAACAUAAUGUCCCUGAGGAUGUGGGUUCGAUUCCUGGCCUCGCUUGGUGGGUUAAAGAUACGGUGUUGCCCCAAGCUGUGGUGUAGGUCACAGAUGCAGAUCUGGCAUUGCUGUGGCUGUGGCUGUGGCAGCUGCAGCUCCAAUCUGACCCUGGGAACUUCCAUAGGCCACAGGAAUGGCUGUAAGAAAAAAGGAGAGGAGUUCCCGUCGUGGUGCCGUGGUUAACGAAUCUGACUAGGAACCAUGAGGUUGCAGGUUCGGUCCCUGCACUUGCUCAGUGGGUUAACGAUCCAGCGUUGCCGUGAGCUGUGGUGUAGGUUGCAGAUGCGGCUCGGAU
rnacentral:lncRNA from 1 species